rnacentral:rRNA from 1 species
UGGGGAAUCUUCCGCAAUGGACGAAAGUCUGACGGAGCAACGCCGCGUGAGUGAUGAAGGUCUUCGGAUUGUAAAACUCUGUUGUCAGGGACGAAAGCACCGAUCUAUAAUACAUUUUGGUGUUGACGGUACCUGACGAGGAAGCCACGGCUAACUACGUGCCAGCAGCCGCGGUAAUACGUAGGUGGCAAGCGUUGUCCGGAAUUAUUGGGCGUAAAGAGCAUGUAGGCGGGCUUUUAAGUCCGACGUGAAAAUGCGGGGCUUAACCCCGUAUGGCGUUGGAUACUGGAAGUCUUGAGUGCAGGAGAGGAAAGGGGAAUUCCCAGUGUAGCGGUGAAAUGCGUAGAUAUUGGGAGGAACACCAGUGGCGAAGGCGCCUUUCUGGACUGUGUCUGACGCU